GGUUAUUUUGGUUACUUGAAAAUGAAAGGGGUAAGUAUUACGUUAAGGAAUUAAUUUAUAGAAAAUAAUAAGUGUUCUCCUUACAAUUAUCCUUCAUAAAGAAGGCCAAGAUAUUGACAGCAAGGUCGUCUGUUUUGUUAUUAAACUAAAAUAAAUAUUUUAUAAUUUAAUUAAAGAGUCUGAUCCGCUCCUGUUUUGUUUAGCAUAACUCCGCGCCACUGGCCUCCGGCCGGCACAACGCAGAGGAAGCGCAACAAAAAAAUCUCAUAAUUGCAAAGCAGUUUGCCGCAGGUGCGCCACCCGCCCUGGAUGUGCCUGGAUGGGGAUGGGGAUGUGAGGGUACCUGGACAUGGAGCUGGACCUAGUACCUGUUACCUGGUACCUGGGGACCCUGGACAGAGGACGACGCCAGAUGAGCAAGUCCGAUAAAGCGGCGAACUGCGACGGAAUGAGAAAUUUGAUGGUAAUUAAUAUUGUAAGCGAAAUUAAUGGCAAUGCGACACUGCACAGAUACAAUUAUAUAUGCAUGAAAAUGGCCGAGAGUGCUUUAGACAAUUGGAGCACUUCAGCUGGGUAUGGCAAUCAAAAUUCACAGCCAGAUCGAGGGACGAGAUCAAAGGGGACUUCCAUCAUUCCGCGCAUAUUUUACACAUGAUUAACUUGCUAAGUGCAAAUGAUAAUAAAUGCAUCUAAAACAAAGCAA